GGAGAGCAGCUCUGGGCGCCGGGCGGUUGCUGCGGGCGCUCAGGGGCCCUGGGAACAAUGGCGCUGUGCGCGCGGGCCGCGCUGCUGCUGGGCGUGCUGCAGGUGCUGGCGCUGCUAGGGGCGGCGCAGGACCCGACCGACGCUCAGGGCUCUGCAAGUGGAAACCACUCAGUGCUGACCUCCAAUAUUAACAUAACAGCCACGGCUUCCAGACGUCAUGGUGCUGCUGCUGCUUCGUGUAACAUGGCCAGUUGGUGACUCAGGUCAAGGGCUUUUCAAUCAAAUCGCCUAACUUUACUGGACAAGUUCCCAUCUAGAAUACCAACCAGACCAUGAGUGUGGUUUCCAACCAGACCAGUGAAAUGCAGAGCACCGCGAAGCCUUCCGUACUGCCAAAAACUACCACACUUAUCACUGUGAAACCUGCAACUAUUGUUAAAAUAUCAACCCCAGGAGUCUUACCACAUGUGACGCCUACUGCCUCAAAGUCUACACCCAAUGCAAGUGCUUCUCCAAACUCUACCCACACGUCAGCAUCCAUGACAACCCCAGCCCACAGUAGUUUAUUGACAACUGUAACGGUUUCAGCAACUACUCAUCCCACCAAAGGCAAAGGAUCCAAGUUUGAUGCCGGCAGCUUUGUUGGUGGUAUAGUGUUAACACUGGGAGUUUUAUCUAUUCUCUACAUUGGAUGCAAAAUGUAUUAUUCAAGAAGAGGCAUUCGGUACCGAAGCAUUGACGAACAUGAUGCCAUCAUUUAAAGUACUUCAGUGGUCAAGGAAAGAAGAAAGACUGCAGCCUUAUCAAUUAUUUUGGUUUAUAUUAGUUUAAACUAUUAUUUUCUUGGAAGUAGUAUAAACAAGUCAUGCAUAUAAUGAGCAGUGUAUUCCAUGAAUAUCUGGAAAUUUCUCAUUACUAUAGGUAAAGGGUAUAGUCUGGGUAAAAUGAAUAUUGGGAGCUAACAGGUCAUUUAUCCAGUGAUUGCAUUUCCUUUAGCAAGACAAGUCCUAUCUUUUGGAAUAUGUGCAUGGCAUUGAUUGGUCAUGUAGGACCAACAUCACUGAGUAGCAGGGCCCAUCUGCAUACAGGUGAGGAGCCUGUCACAGCAUCCCGGAUCUCAGUAUCUUCUCUGCUCACAUAAAGCACUUGAGUGCCAGUCAGAGCUGGGUGAUCCUAAUUCCUGCCUCAGGUUCCAUGGUUGCGCUAACCAGCUUUCAAGUGCAGUUGAAGUAAGUUUCAGUAUUUUAGGGUUUAGAUUAGAGUUCAUCUAGAAGUAGAACUUGCAGUCCAAAUACAUCCCCCACGACCUCCUAUGCUAACGGCCACCGAGCACUGGGAGCUCAGACUUGGCUCGUCAUCUCCCUUCAACUGUCAGGAUUGGUAUUUCUUCCUUUGUACAUAAUUUAGGCAAGCUGCAGUGCACACCCAGCUUCUCAAAAGGCGUAGCACAUGAAGACUGCUGCCAUGCUGCUGUGGAAACCUGUCCCAGCAUUGCAAACUGGUCUUCACGGUCACUUGUCAGCUGAGUUCUAGUGAAUGUCUUUUAGGCAAUGUGGAGCUGCUUCCCAUAGUUAGAAUUUUUUAAUUGAAUCAGAAAUGCCAUUUUUAAAAAGCUCCGUGAUAUGACGUCCCACCCAGUGUUUAGAAGUCUAUAUUGACCGGCAUCCUGCUUGUUAAGCCAGGAAUUGUAAAGCCCAGGCCUUUGAACCCACAGGGUACAAAUGCAGUAUUUUUGUACACUGUCAACUUAGUCAGAUUUGAGAAAAUGACUUUUUUAUACUAAAGUGUAUUUUGGUGAAUUCUGGUUUCCUUAUCCCCAAGCCUACUCCUUACCCUUGGAAAGAGAGCUGCAUCCUGAUAUUUCCAGGGAAGCAGCCACGCUGUCUGUGGCACUGUAAGUUCUAAAGUUUAUACUCAGGUCAAACUCAGGGCCAGGUUUAACAAAGAAAGUGUUUAGUUACAAAAUACUAAUAUAGUAUGCUAUUGUAAAAGGACAAAGUGAAUUAUAGCAAUUUCAAAAAGUAUAGAAAUAAGCCAAAAAUAUCUGAAUGAGCACACAUCUAUGUUAGAAUUAAAAAUGUAAGUAUAACUUUUGUAAUCUGCUUCUGGUUUUCAAAACAACAAACUACCAAGAAUUUUUUUAUAUAUAAGAAUCAUUUCUACUUGCUUUACAUCGGGUCCAACUGACAUGGUGAGGCAUGGACUGCUCAGGUUAUGUUAACACGGAGAGAGAUGCUAGGAAAUGGACCAUGGAAUUAGACUAGUUUCAAAUGAGGGCUGCUGAGAAAGCCACACUUCUCAUUGGCUUUCAGCCACUGCUCUGCUUUCUAUGUGAAAUACAGUUCAGGGCCUGGGGGCAACAGGGUGGUGAAAGUUUAACUUUGUUUGUCUGUUACAUUCUUGGUACUUCAGUACCUGCCAGAGAUCCUCUUGAACACUUGUUUCUUUAGCACUUUGGAGAUAUAAACCACUUUAUAAAGGCACUGUUAUUAUUUGCCUCUUACAUUUCCACUGAGUUGGGGGUUAAAAGUAAUUUACUUAUUAUCUUUUCUAAUUUGUUACUUUCAAAUACCAGGACUUUGUUGAAGAGACUUCUUUUUAAUGUAUAAAAAUUGAAUGUUUCCUAAGCAUAAGUUGUCUUCCAAGUCUCACUUAAGCAAAUGCUUACCUUUCCUAGCUUUCCUAGAGAAUGUGUUUAUUAAGAUAAAACAAUGAAUAAAUCCAUAGGAGGACUAAUUCAAAUAUGACAGUUGGCAACAUAUUUUAUGGUGUGGUAAUUUUGUAUCUUGAGAAAGACUAAAGCAAACCCUUAUUGCCCUUUUUCUAUUUUAACGACCAAUUUUGGUAUUUCAUUGUUACUAAGAUCUAUUUUUAGAAUAAAAUUUGUUCUCCAUUCAAA